GAAAGGGUGUGGAUACCGACACACCUGGAUGGCGGCACAGCCAUCCCUAUUAAA
rnacentral:ncRNA from 1 species